rnacentral:tmRNA from 1 species
GGGGUAGUACUGGUUUCGACAGGGGUUUUGAAAUUGGAGAAGCUAUCCGCAUGCAAUGCGUUAAAUUGCAAACCUAAAUAUAAACGCAGACGAAAAAGUAGCGUUAGCAGCCUAAGGCUGUUUGUCAGACCUGAUAGACCUGCAUAUUAGGACCCUGGCAUCAUUAACCGCAGGAAACGAUACAGGUAAAGCUUUGAAUCUGUAGGCGUAUUAUGAAGCUACUAAAAGUGUAAGGAUGUUAGUUUCCGUGCACUGGAGGGAAUGUUAAAGAACUGACUAUGAUAGUAGAAGUACAAUGGACGGAUCUUUGGACACGGGUUCAAAUCCCGUCUACUCCAUC